AGCGAACGCUGGCGGCAGGCUUAACACAUGCAAGUCGAACGAACUCUUCGGAGUUAGUGGCGGACGGGUGAGGAACACGUGGGAACGUGCCUUUAGGUUCGGAAUAACUCAGGGAAACUUGUGCUAAUACCGAAUGUGCCCUUCGGGGGAAAGAUUUAUCGCCUUUAGAGCGGCCCGCGUCUGAUUCGCUAGUUGGUGAGGUAAAGGCUCACCAAGGCGACGAUCAGUAGCUGGUCUGAGAGGAUGAUCAGCCACAUUGGGACUGGGACACGGCCCAAACUCCUACGGGAGGCAGCAGUGGGGAAUCUUGCGCAAUGGGCGAAAGCCUGACGCAGCCAUGCCGCGUGAAUGCUGAAGGUCUUAGGAUUGUAAAAUUCUUUCACCGGUGACGAUAAUGACGGUACCCGGAGAAGAAGCCCCGGCUAACUUCGUG
rnacentral:rRNA from 1 species